AAGUCGAGCGGAAACGAGUUAUCUGAACCUUCGGGGGACGAUAACGGCGUCGAGCGGCGGACGGGUGGGUAAUGCCUAGGAAAUUGCCCUGAUGUGGGGGAUAACCAUUGGAAACGAUGGCUAAUACCGCAUGAUGCCUACGGGCCAAAGAGGGGGACCUUCGGGCCUCUCGCGUCAGGAUAUGCCUAGGUGGGAUUAGCUAGUUGGUGAGGUAAGGGCUCACCAAGGCAACGAUCCCUAGCUGGUCUGAGAGGAUGAUCAGCCACACUGGAACUGAGACACGGUCCAGACUCCUACGGGAGGCAGCAGUGGGGAAUAUUGCACAAUGGGCGCAAGCCUGAUGCAGCCAUGCCGCGUGUAUGAAGAAGGCCUUCGGGUUGUAAAGUACUUUCAGUCGUGAGGAAGGCGGCGUCGUUAAUAGCGGCGUUGUUUGACGUUAGCGACAGAAGAAGCACCGGCUAACUCCGUGCCAGCAGCCGCGGUAAUACGGAGGGUGCGAGCGUUAAUCGGAAUUACUGGGCGUAAAGCGCAUGCAGGUGGUUUGUUAAGUCAGAUGUGAAAGCCCGGGGCUCAACCUCGGAAUAGCAUUUGAAACUGGCAGACUAAAGUACUGUAGAGGGGGGUAGAAUUUCAGGUGUACCGGUGAAAAUGCGUAGAGAUCUGAAGGAAUACCGGUGGCGAAGGC
rnacentral:rRNA from 1 species